CAGCCGGCCGGGCCCGCGCGGAGCAGGGCGGUCGCUGCCCUCGCCCGCGGAGGGAGCGAUGGAGCCGGCGGCCUUGAAGCUGCUUCCACCGGACCCGGGAGAUGAGGGCACUCAGCGCUGCCGGCUGGGACCUGCCGCGCUGUCCUUGCUGGGGGCCCGGCUCGGCGCCCCGCUGAGGAUCUCGCUGCCCGGCGGGUGCUGUGUGUGUACGGCGUGGCCCCGGCACGACCUGGCCGACGGGUUCCUGCAGGCCGACCUGACCUGCAGCACCGCGGGCCUGGCCCCGCGGGCCCUGCGCGGGCUCUCGCUGGAUGUGCAACAGCUGGAGCCGCUGCCCCACCGGCAGCUGGGGAAGGCGGCGGUCGGAGUGGUCCUCAGGAGCGCCGCGCUGAAAAAGUCGACUCCCAGAGCGGUGUUGCAGGAGACCAUCAGAGAACUGUUGAGAAAUGUUUACGUUUUGCCUGGUUAUGUUGUUACUGUUGCCCCGAGUCCCGAAAAUCCCGUGGUGUAUAUUGAAAUACUGUCUGCAGACUCUUUGGUGGAGGAAGCUGGAUUGAUAACCCCCCAAACAAGCAUAAAAAUUAAGGAGGUGAUCACUUUAGAAUGGUACAGACAUUUGUCAGAAGGCAUUGCAAAAACUUCAGUUGCAGGACUAGAUGAUGUGGGAAAGUCUUUGAAAGAAAUGAUCGAUCUGCCUUUGCGCUUUCCAAAAACUUUUAAGAACCUGGGGCUUUCUGUCCCUAAUGGAGUGCUGUUAAUUGGGCCCCCAGGUGUAGGGAAAACUCUUAUGGUAAAGGCAGUAGCAGAAGAGGUGGGUGCAUUUCUGUUUGGCGUCAGCGGCCCAGCCCUCCAUGGCUCAAGGCCAGGAGAAGGUGAAGAAAAUUUGAGGAGAGUCUUUGAAAAAGGCAGAGAAAUGUCACAGGAAGGCCCAACCGUUCUCUUCUUUGAUGAAAUUGAUUCUUUGUGCCCGAAGCGAGGAAGUUCAAACAAUGCUCCUGAAGAUCGGAUUGUUGCUCAGCUGCUGACGCUCCUGGAUGGUGUAAGGAGCGAGGGUAAGAUGGUCAUUGUGGCAGCAACAAACAGGCCAGAUGCCUUAGACCCUGCACUCAGAAGACCUGGCAGAUUUGACAGAGAGGUUAUUAUUGGGACCCCAACAGUCACACAAAGAAGAUCCAUCCUGCAGUUGCUUACAUCUAAUAUGCCCAUUUCUGCAGAUGUUGAUUUGGCUCAGCUGGCAGAGAUGACCCCUGGGUAUGUGGGAGCUGACCUCACAGCACUCUGCAGGGAAGCUGUUAUGCAGGCUGUGUCCCACAGCUCCUUGGAGUCAACUGAAACUGAAACCAUGAUUAACAUGGAAGAUUUCCAAGAAGCUUUUAAAAAAAUUCAACCAUCCUCUUUUCGAAGUGCAGUUGGACUAACAGAGUGUAAACCUGUGACUUGGGAGCAAAUUGGUGGUCUUGAAGAUGUAAAAUUAAAGUUAAAACAGAGUAUUGAGUGGCCUAUGAAGUUUCCUCAGGCAUUUGCUAGGAUGGGCCUGUCCCAUCCCAAGGGGAUCCUUCUCUAUGGGCCUUCUGGCUGUGCCAAAACCACGCUGGUGAGGGCUGUGGCCACCAGUUGUCACUGUUCCUUUCUCUCUGUAAGUGGUGCUGACCUGUUCUCACCUUAUGUUGGAGACUCAGAGAAGAUUUUGUCUCAGGUUUUUCGCCAAGCAAGAGCAAACACUCCAGCAAUAAUAUUCCUGGAUGAGAUUGACACUAUCCUGGGCUCUCGGUCACACGGCAGAACUGGCCCUGGGGUCUCACAGCGGGUUCUGUCUGUUCUCCUCAACGAGUUGGAUGGUGUUGGGCUCAAAGUUACAGAAAGAAGAGGAGGCAAAUUACAGCUUGAGGGGCAGUGCCAAGAGCAAAGUGAUGAUGAGGAAAGAAAGCUAGAGUUUCAGGAAACUUUGAACAAAGAUUUCAUGGUAGUUGCUGCAACAAAUAGACCAGAUAUGUUGGAUGAUGCCUUAUUGCGUCCUGGAAGGUUGGACAAGAUGAUCUAUAUUCCACCUCCAGAUCUGAAGGGAAGACUUUCCAUUUUGAAAAUCUGCACCGAAAAAAUUCCAUUGGAUACUGAUGUGUCACUACAGGAUGUGGCAGCCCUAACAGACCUCUUCUCUGGAGCCGAUAUUGCAAAUCUGUGCAAGGAGGCUGCUUUGUUGGCUUUGCAAGAGAAUGGACUUGAAGCAACUGCUGUAAAACACGAGCAUUUUGUGAAAUCACUGAAGACUGUAAAACCAUCCUUAAACAGAAAAGACUUGGAAUUUUAUGAAAAAUUUUAUAAUCAAGAAUUAGCCUCUUGAAUCAAAAAGGAGUGGCAUAGGGAGCCAGCAGAGCGUGCAGAAAAGGCAGCCUUUUCUUCCUCUCACUGCUUUCCAGUGGGCAAGAGAGAAGGGGAGAAAUGUAGACGAGUCAUCUGCUGGCACCACUCACCUCCACCCUGCUCCUGGCACCUGUCUGAGCUCUGGAAGAGGCAGACCCUGGCCUCACCUGGGCGUUUGCCUGGAUAUGCUGCUCUUUGGGCAGCUGCCUGGAGAAGAGGACAGACAAGAAGACAAAGGAGAAAUGGAGAAGAAAGCUCAUUCCCCUGGCUGGAAUACUGUCCGUGGCAGCAAUUGGGGCGUUUUCUUUUAGCAUGUAUUCCCUAUUCGGCAAAUCUGAUGUGAUGAUUAACAGGAGUGGCAAUCCAGAACCCUGGGAAAAUAUUGAUCCUACCAAGCCUCAGAAGCUGUUAACAAUCCAACAGAAAUGGCAGCCUAUAGAAGAGCUGGAAAAUGUCAAAAAGCUUAUGAAGUGAGAAGUUUCUGUUGCCUCAAAAAGGUGCCCUAUGAAUCUAGUGGAAUCACUUCUGCACAAACUUGACUACUGAAAUCAGUGUGCGGAAAUGCUUCUGCUACGUUUUUAGGGUCUUCCUCCAUUUUUUUGGACUCUGAAUGAGGAGUUUCGUGUUGCUUUAAAGUUGGCAUACAGCAUCCAUCUAGUCCAAAAAAAACUGACUCAAAUAUUCAUUUUCAGCAGGCAUUUGAUGCCAAAUGUUGAAUAUUCAGAUGGUAAUUAUAGAUGGAAAAAGCCUUCACAGUUUUUGUAGAAUUUUGAGAUUUUUUUUCAAAAUACAUUAGUUUUGUUAUUUUAUAAAUUUUUAAUUAAAUAAAUUCUAAAUUUUUACAACAUUUUAUGUAAAUUCCGUAAAUGGAGGUUACCCAAAAGCCCUUCUAAACUGGGAUUCCCGGUCUGCUUCCUCUCUAUGCUGUAUUUCAAUGCAGUAUAUAGACCAAAGUCAUAUCCAGAAGAUGUCUUUGUAUGACAACAUAUGUGGUCAUAAAGUACACUUGCAUUUCUUGUCUACAUUAGAUGUGAUGACAGUUUAAGUCAAAACUAAUGUUCUGCUGCAAAUACUCAAACUUAUAUGUGUGCUCACCUUAACCCGCUGAGGAGUCCAGUAGGUUAUUUAAGGGUGUGUUUGAGACUGCAGGAUUAGAAUUUAAGAACUGAGCAUGGCUAAAACAGAAAUGAAAAUGAGAUAAUUUCUGCUGUGUUUAAAUAUUGUUCAUGUUUAAAUUUAGAAAAAGUUACUAGAAUUAGGAAACUUGCAUUAUCCAAAACUAUGUUAAUUUCUUCUUUUUGUGCAAAGUUGUUCAAGUGCAAGCUCAAGUGUACUGCACAGUUAACAAUAUUUUUAAACAUUUCUACGUGCUGUUAGGAACGUCUACUUUAUCAAAUAGAAACUAACAUAUUAAAAUUAGAAAUGAUUCUAUGAAGAGACACUUCCUUUUUAAGCAUCUGUAUGUUUUCUUAUUGGUUGGCCAGGGAAAGAAUGUAAUGGGCAGACCCACAGUAAAUUAAUGAGACAAGAAAUGCAUCCAAUGAUAGAACAGUCCUUUUGUAGAUAUUUUCUGUAUUUUUGUAGAUAUUUUCUAUCUUCUAAGCAGCUUCACAGUCUGUUACUCAGUUUCUUUUACAAUGGACUUUCAGAAGGGAGAUUGGUUUCUGUCAGGAAGAAAACAAAAGUGAAACAAGUGCUAACUGGAAAAAGUCCCCGUAAGUGAGUAAGAGUCAAGUGCUUUAGGUUGCUCUGCUGCAGCAAAGACAAACUUCAGCUAGAAAAGCUGCUUCCCAAAUUUCACGGUGGCUUGGCUUCAGAAGUUUUAUGUUUUCUUCAGCUGAGGAAAAAAAAGUUAAAAUGUUACUUUAUCAGAUUCAGCGUAAAUAUUUAUCAAGUAAUGAUGACUCAGCAGCUUUUAUGUUUUAGAGCAAGAGGAACUACUAGUUUUCAGAAUACCUUCUUAGCUUUCAUUUUAAGGAAUGACAUUACAAGGUUGCAUAGCAUAGAACCACAAAGAUACAAUGCUCUGAGCAAUACAUGUUUAAAGUAUUUUAAUACAGAAAAUAUUUCAAAAUAUUUCUCUAAGUUAUUCUGUAUUUCCAUAUUUUUACUGGACUGUGCCAAACAAAACAAAGUGCUGUGCUCUGAGUUGAUGCAUGAAUUAAAUGACUGUGUUCUUCAGUACACCAGUUGUAUGGUCUGUAAAUACUAUGACCUAAGUAUCUGCCAGUGUUGAGGAAAUAAAUAUAAGUAAUUUUUAUGUAAUUUUUGUAUUUAACUACUUUUCAGUGAUGUUUCCAGUAACAUAUUAAGCAGUAUGACUGCUAUCAGUCACGGGUUGUUGCUUCUCUCAUCCUGUCCUGAAGCAUAACAGCUUUGGUAAUAAACUGUUUUGCCUUGUUAGCUGCUCUAUUUUUUGGGUUUUUUUAAUAUAGAUUGUUGGGAGGGUUGUCACAUAAUGUGAGAAAUCAAAAUAUUUUUCUGCACUUC